UGGCGGCGUGCCUAAUACAUGCAAGUCGAGCGGAAAGUUCUGCACUUAUUAUUUGAACGAAAUAAGUCUACCUCGGUAGAUACUAAUCGAAAACGCGCUUCAUUGGCUAAUGAGUGCGGUCGAAUAAUGGGUGUAGAAUACUCGAGCGGCGGACGGCUGAGUAACACGUAGGAACGUACCCCAAAGUGAGGGAUAACUGCUCGAAAGAGUAGCUAAUACCGCAUGUGAUCUCCGGAUUAAAGCCUUUACGGCGCUAUGGGAACGGCCUGCGUAUGAUUAGUUAGUUGGUGAGGUAAUGGCUCACCAAGACGAUGAUCAUUAGCUGGUCUGAGAGGAUGAUCAGCCAGGCUGGGACUGAGAACGGCCCAGACUCCUACGGGAGGCAGCAGUAGGGAAUUUUCCACAAUGGGCGAAAGCCUGAUGGAGCAACGCCGCGUGCAGGAUGAAUGCCUUCGGGUUGUAAACUGCUUUUAUUAGUGACGAUUAUGACGGUAACUAAUGAAUAAGGACCUGCUAACUACGUGCCAGCAGCCGCGGUCAUACGUAGGGUCCAAGCGUUAUCCGGAAUUACUGGGCGUAAAGAGUUGCGUAGGUGGCUCGGUAAGUAGAUAGUGAAAGCGUGUGGCUCAACCAUACAUCCAUUAUCUAAACUGCCGUAGCUAGAGGACGAGAGAGGUAGAUGGAAUUCCUG
rnacentral:rRNA from 1 species